rnacentral:rRNA from 1 species
GAUGAACGCUGGCGGCGUGCCUAAUACAUGCAAGUCGAGCGAACGGACGAGAAGCUUGCUUCUCUGAUGUUAGCGGCGGACGGGUGAGUAACACGUGGAUAACCUACCUAUAAGACUGGGAUAACUUCGGGAAACCGGAUCUAAUACCGGAUAAUAUUUUGAACCGCAUGGUUCAAAAGUAAAAGACGGUCUUGCUGUCACUUAUAGAUGGAGCCGCGCUGCAUUAGCUAGUUGGUAAGGUAACGGCUUACCAAGGCAACGAUGCAUAGCCGACCUGAGAGGGUGAUCGGCCACACUGGAACUGAGACACGGUCCAGACUCCUACGGGAGGCAGCAGUAGGGACUCUUCCGCAAUGGGCGAAAGCCUGACGGAGCAAAGCCGCGUGAGUGAUGAAGGUCUUCGGAUCGUAAAACUCUGUUAUUAGGGAAGAACAUAUGUGUAAGUAAGUGUGCACAUCUUGACGGUACCUAAUCAGAAAGCCACGGCUAACUACGUG